rnacentral:rRNA from 1 species
AUUGAACGCUGGCGGCAGGCCUAACACAUGCAAGUCGAACGAGUGGCGGACGGGUGAGUAAUGUCUGGGAACCUGCCUUGUGGAGGGGAAUAACCACUGGACCCGGUAGCUCAUACCGCAUACCAUCGGGUGGCCCCAGAUGGGAUUAUCUAGUAUGUGGGGUAAAGGGUCACCUAGGCGACGCUCCCUAGCUGGUCUGAGAGGAUGACCAGCCACACUGGAACUGAGACACGGUCCAGACUCCUACGGGAGGAAGCAGUGGGGAAUAUUGCACAAUGGGCGCAAGCCUGAUGCAGCCAUGCCGCGUGUAUGAAGAAGGCCUUCGGGUUGUAAAGUACUUUCAGCGGGGAGGCGUUACCCGCAGAAGAAGCACCGGCUAACUCCGUGCCAGCAGCCGCGGUAAUUC